rnacentral:tRNA from 1 species
GCGCGAGUGGCGGAACUUAGUAUACGCGUACGCUUGAGGGGCGUAUGGUCUUAUGAUCGUGCAGGUGCAAGUCCUGUCUCGCGCACCA